AGGCGUAUGUGCUCUACAGCAAGCGCGUCUACCGCGGCACCACCACGAUGAGCGGGAAGACGGUCAUCGUGACCGGCGGCAACGCAGACUCAUGAUCCGGAUCCGCGGUCACUACCUGCCCUAAGGGCAAGUUACCAGUCAUGAUUUGACAAUACCUGCCGUAUGCACUCCAGCCCAUUUUUACAGCGAAGCUGGAUACCUCUACCUCCCAAUGCAUUUGUUGUAGCCGUGGGCAAACGUGUCAGCUGAUCCCGGAGGUUGUUUGGUACUAGGCUGACCCGCAGCGGAGGGGAAACAGGGUUGAAACACUCUGCCUCUAAUAAAUAAAUAAAUAAAUAAAUAAAUAAAUAAAUAAAUAAAUAAAUAAGAGGUGUCCAUUAAUGUGCCCAGGAACAACCCGAGGGUCUUGGUGCUGGCACACUCGGCAAAACAAUGCACAAGAAACACAGCGCACGCGCACAGGCACAUACA